rnacentral:rRNA from 1 species
GGCGCAGCAGUCGCGAAUCUUUCACAAUGGGGGCAACCCUGAUGGAGCGACGCCGCGUGGAGGAUAAGGUCUUCGGAUUGUAAACUCCUGUCAUGCGAGAACAAGGUACUCAGGUUAACAACCUGAUUGUUUGAUGGUACCGCAAGAGGAAGAGACGGCUAACUCUGUGCCAGCAGCCGCGGUAAUACAGAGGUCUCAAGCGUUGUUCGGAAUCACUGGGCGUAAAGGGUGCGUAGGCUGCGCCGUAAGUCAGAUGUGAAAGCUCAGGGCUCAACCCUGAAAUUGCAUCCGAUACUGCGGUGCUUGAGAAAUGAAGGGGAGUCUAGAAUUUUCGGUGUAGCAGUGAAAUGCGUAGAUAUCGAAAGGAAUACCAAAGGCGAAGGCAGGACUCUGGGCAUUUUCUGACGCUGAUGCACGAAGGCCAGGGUAGCGAACGGGAUUAGAUACCCUAGUAC